ensembl:snoRNA small nucleolar RNA, C/D box 53
AUGCUAUGAUGACCUUCGUCUUGGUUUCGCUUAUUGCUGAAUUCCAUUGAUGACGACACAUUCUCUUGGCUGUCUGAGCAU